AUGGAAUGACUCCAAUACAGAGGCCAAAAUCUACUGUUGGAAUUCCUAAAAUUGGUCUGUAAGAUUAUGUAGCUGACAGAGAAGGCAGAUUUCUGGGGAGAUUAGGAGAAUAUUUGUAUCUUCUAAUCAGAGAUCUGCAGAGGAAGGCUGCUGGGUUUAGGUUAUUUGGCCAGUGUUUCAGGUAUGUUCUUGCUUUCCAUCUAAUCAUCAUGAGAAUGCUUUUGUUAGAGUAUCAUCUCAAAGAGUUCCAAUUUUGCAUAUGGAGGUAGGAGAGUUUCAUCCAUCUUUGUUGGAAUCGAGGGUUGCAGAUGCAGGCAAUAGAUGCAUUUAUGUAUCUAAUAAUCAUCAGAAUGCUUUAUAUCUCAAAUGGGGACAUCUGCAUAUGGAGGUAGGAGGGUUUCAUCCAUCUUUGGUUGAAUCAAGGGGGGGGUCUGCUUGCCUGCAAUCAGAAUUGCCUAUGUUGAAUGGUUGCAGACUAUGGUUAAUGAUGUAAGUAGCAGUUGGAUGUCUGCAACAUGUGAAGGAAAGGGAGGAGGGAUAUGUGCAUCUCCUUUUUGGAUUGUGACCUACCCUGCAUGCCAGGCUUGUAGCAUUUUAGAUCACAAGUAAUGUUGCAGUUUAUAGGGGGUUUCAUUACACAAGUAGAAGCUGUAUAACUUGCAGUGACCAAACAACCCAAAAUGAAUAUGGAGAAUUUUCCGAUCAACCUCGGAUAUCAGAGUCUGAUUUCAUUU
rnacentral:lncRNA from 1 species